rnacentral:tRNA from 1 species
GAACACAGUUAGCUCAGUUGGUUAGAGCGUGGUGCUAAUAUUGAAUGAUUACGCCAAGGUCGCGAGUUCGACCCUCGUAGUGACCA